rnacentral:rRNA from 1 species
GAGACGCAACCCUCGUCGUAUGUUAUAUGUGUCAUACGAGACUGCCGGUAAGAAGCCGGAGGAAGGUGAGGAUGAUGUCAAGUCAGCAUGACCUUUAUAUCCAGGGCUACACACACGCUACAAUGGUCUGUACAAUGGGUAGCCAAGCCGCGAGGCGGAGCCAAUCCUGAAAGCAGGCCUCAGUUCAGAUUGCAGUCUGCAACUCGACUGCAUGAAGCCGGAGUUGCUAGUAACCGCAGGUCAGCAAUACUGCGGUGAAUACGUUCCCGGGUCUU